rnacentral:rRNA from 1 species
UACGUAGGGGGCAAGCGUUGUCCGGAUUUAUUGGGCGUAAAGAGCGUGUAGGCGGUCAGGUAGGUCCGUUGUGAAAACUCGAGGCUCAACCUCGAGACGUCGGCGGAAACCAUCUGGCUAGAGUCCGGAAGAGGAGAGUGGAAUUCCUGGUGUAGCGGUGAAAUGCGCAGAUAUCAGGAAGAACACCCGUGGCGAAGGCGGCUCUCUGGGACGGUACUGACGCUGAGACGCGAAAGCGUGGGGGAGCGAACAGG